GGGAUAGUCCUUUACGAAAGAAAGAUUUAAUACCUGAUAGUUACUUUUUUCAAGGCAUCUUAGAAAAAGUUAAAGAUUUUAUUGGUUUAUGGAGUGGGAUGCGUUCCAUUAGAUAGUUUGGUGGAGGUAACGGCUCACCAAGUCUUCGAUGGAUAGGGGUUCUGAGAGGAAGGUCCCCCACAUUGGUACUGAGACACGGACCAAACUCCUACGGGAGGCAGCAGUGAGGAAUAUUGGUCAAUGGGCGAGAGCCUGAACCAGCCAAGUAGCGUGAAGGAAUGAAGGUCCUAUGGAUUGUAAACUUCUUUUAUAGUAGAAUAAAGUGAGCCACGUGUGGUUUUUUGUAUGUAUACUAUGAAUAAGGAUCGGCUAACUCCGUGCCAGCAGCGGC
rnacentral:rRNA from 1 species